GGGACACCGGUGACAGGUGGUGCAUGGUUGUCGUCAGCUCGUGUCGUGAGAUGUUGGGUUAAGUCCCGCAACGAGCGCAACCCUUAUUGUUAGUUGCUACGCAAGAGCACUCUAGCGAGACUGCCGUUGACAAAACGGAGGAAGGUGGGGACGACGUCAAAUCAUCAUGCCCCUUAUGUCCUGGGCCACACACGUACUACAAUGGUGGUCAACAGAGGGAAGCAAUACCGCGAGGUGGAGCAAAUCCCUAAAAGCCAUCCCAGUUCGGAUCGCAGGCUGCAACCCGCCUGCGUGAAGUUGGAAUCGCUAGUAAUCGCGGAUCAGCAUGCCGCGGUGAAUACGUUCCCGGGCCUUGUACACACCGCCCGUCACCAUGAGAGUCGGGAACACCCGAAGUCCGUAGCCUAACCGCAAGGGGGGCGCGGCCGAAGGUGGGUUCGAUAAUUGGGGUGAAGUCGUAACAAGGUAGCCGUAUCGGAAGGUGCGGCUGGAUCACCUC
rnacentral:rRNA from 1 species